rnacentral:RNase_P_RNA from 1 species
UUUAGGCAAAUGCUAUAUAUUUAUUAUAUAGAGGAAAGUCCAAGCUCACACAGUCUGUGAUGAUUGUAGUGUUUGUGCUAAGGGAAAAAAUAACCUUAGGUAGUAUAAUAUAUACUAACGGCUUCGAAAUAAUCCUAAAAGGAUUAAAUUAGAUAUAAAAGUGCCAAAGAGACGAGCCUAAAGAGUAAUCUUUAGGGUGGAACGUGGUAAACCCCGCAAGUGAGAAACCCAAAUCAUGGUAGGGGAGUCUUUACCGAUAAUUAAGAAUGAGGUAAAGGACCUAUUUGAUAGGUAGAUAAAUAUUUGCCGCCCUUUUAGGGUACAGAACGUGGCUUAUU